GCGCCCCGCCCCUUCUCCUCGGGCCCGGCGGACCCGCGGCCCUGAGGGGGAGGUGGGUGGGGCCAUGGCGGUGUUGCCCUCGAGUCUUACAGCUCAGCCUGGUAAAGCUGCCUGGGAAAGGCGUGUGGGCAUCCCGGUUUGGGAAGGUCCCGGCUUCGCCUCCAGCCCAGAAAGGUGCCAGUGUUAUGAUAUUGAAAGGGAACAUAUUUUGGUUUCCAAACCCCAACUACAGCAGUGACAACAAAAAGAUACAAGACAGCACCAAAGGGAAGCCGCUCUCUGCUACCUAAGCAGCACACUGGAUGCAAGACAGGACAAUAUUUUGGAGGUUAGUUGAUGAAGCAGAUGAAGAUAUUAUUUUUUAACUUUUGGACACCUGGAUUCAAAGCAAAAGUAAUUUUGCAGUGUCAUCCAAGUUCUCAGCUGUCCAUUCUACAAAAUCUGGCAUAAAUAGCCUGUGGAGGGACCCAGGAUCUGCAGAGCAGAAUUCAGCACCUCACCGUGCUUGCUGGUGGCUGCACAAAGACUGUAGCACUUCUCAUGGUCACGUUUUUUUUGGCUCAACAAGCUGACUUGGGUCAACAAAGGCUGUGAAGACCAAGGGAAGAAGUAGGACAGCACAGCCAGGCAAGAGGGAUGGCAAACACAGCAUUGUCUCCUUUUAUGAAGGGAUCCCUUUCUGGCUCUGUGAGGAAAUACUCACCGAUUUCACAAUGGAGGGAAUUCCCCACUCUGUGCUCAGGAGCCUGUGGCUGUGCAGCUUCCCACUGGGAUCCACGUGUCUGUCCAGGACAUCGACUCCAACCACGCUGGGGUUCAUGGGAUUUGGAUAUUUCCUCAUGGCAGCUGUGGUCACAGUUUCCCAGGGGUGGCUGACGAAACAGAGGCAGGACACAAAGUUGUACACCUUCGGUUUUAACAGGGUUUCUAUUAAAACUGAAUGACACAUAUCACUUGAUUUAUGUCUUUAAAGCAGUUCCAUUUCCGCUUCUCAACCCUACACAUAUCCUUCCUAGAGAAACACCUCUAUUUCAUGGACUGGACAGUGCCACAUGCAAGUCAAACAUACAACACACCUCAUUAAUCUGGUGUCAUAUUAUAUUAUAACUUGAUAAGAACGUUUCCUUGUGACAUAAUGUUAAACACUGUGCUUCAUCCAGAUUUCAGUAA